UCCUCUGUAUCGCUAACUUCGCUGCAAGCAUAAAAUGGCAGACGUAAGAUAUAUAGUUGUUUUCAAUUGCCAAGGGGAAAAACAACAAUGUAAAAGAGUAAGUUCUUAAACAGAAGAUAACUACUCUAUUGGACCUUCAACUACCAAUAUGGAUGUAAACGACAAGCUUUUCCAAUGGGUUUAGUUAGUGUUUCUAGACAUAGUAAGUAGAUUAUCUUCAAGGUUCUUUACUAAAUUCAGAUUCCACAACCCCAAAUUGAAGUGAGAAACAGGACUACAGGUUUGUUUCGUCUAUCAGUUAGUACACUAAACUGCUGCCAGAUAGGAGCACAAACGCUAUAAGAAAUUUAUCAGCUACAUUACACAGGGAAGCCAAAUUGUUUCUCAUAGGCUCAUCAACAAAAAUAUUGGAAAUAGUCAAAUCAAUACUAAUCUAAGGUUUACAAUAUGGCUAGAGCAACUAUAAGAAUUUCUCUAUGGAAACCAUUCUUAAACAAAAAGACCACCAGUCAAAGAUCAAGAAGACCACUCCAAAAGCACGGAAAUAGCCAAAACAAAACUAACCUAAGGUUUCCGAUACGAAUCCCGCAUUUGCAAAUCAUUAACAUUUAAGUAAGAGCUAGACCAAAUAAAAGAGAAGAGAAUCACGAUACAGCGAAAAACUUGAAAUAAUACUCUACAGAGAUAGUGUUGUUAAGGAUGAUAUUACCUUGGUUCAUAAACUAAAACCUCA